UAAUGAUAAUAUAUUAUUAAAUUUGUAGGUUAUUUGCUUGUCUACAGGUAGUACACAAUGUCGCCACCUCUUACAGCAGCAACAACAGCUCCAUUGCUGUUUCAACUCUACAUCAAAGUGCACAAUUGCUGUGGCUGACAACAGGUGGUGUGCAAGUCUCUCAGCAACACAUGACAACAUGUUUUCAGUGCUGUCUGCUAAUGGUAUUGGUCUGAUGGAACCUCAAAGAUUAUUCACUUCACUUUCUAAUCCACCAGUAAGACAAAAACUUCAAGAAACAGUUCUAUGAAAUAACUCAUGGCUACAUUAAGAUCAGAACAGUUUUCACUUGAAAGUUUCAUUGGACUUCAACAGCUACCAGCCACACAGUGAGGUGUACCUUGGGUACAUUUUAGUUCUUGAACCGAGAUGGCUCUCCUGUUCCAAGCAAGCACGGAUACAGGAUGAAGUAAUCACUUACUGAUAAUAUAAUGGGAAUGGAUAGAGAAAAAAUCUACUCACCAAGCAGCGGGAGGGGAACACACACACAAAAGGAUUCAACUUUUACAAGCUUUCGGAGGCAGCGGCUCCUUCUUCUCACAGAAGAGUCGAAGAGGAAGGAAGAGGUGUGAAGGAAAAGGACUGGAGAGGUUUAGUGAAAGGGAUACAGUUCAUAAAAGUCACCCAGAACUUUGGUUCAGGGGAGACUUACCAGAUGGGAUGAGAAGGAAGAAAAGAGUCUUUUCUUCCUCCUUGCUGCUGCUUCAAUGUAACUUCUGUGAAGUUUAUAAUGUAGCAGAUGAGGUACUGGCAGAAGCAAACCUGUGAGGACAGGUUGUGAGUCACGCUUGGAUAUCUCAGUUGGCAGAGCACUUGCACAUGAAAGAUAAAGGUCCUCAGUUUGAAUCUUAAUCCAGCACACAGUUUUAAUCUGCCAACAAGUUUCAUACCAGUGUACAUUCAGGUGCAGAGUGAAGAUUCCUUCUGGAUGGACAGUUUUGUUUCUGAUGUUGGAGUGCCACACUGAAAAUGAAACACUCCUUAGCAAAAAGGAUUUAAAUAAGUUUACACCCACUGCAGAACUAUUUUUGUGACAAUACUAUGGUGCAAAAAUUUCUGACCUAGUGGACUGGCAACAGUGAUUAGAGAAGGGACACACUUAUAUAUCAUGUUGUAAUAUGGUAGUGGAACUUAAAAUUUGUUCUGUUUGCUUUUAAUGAAUGAGAUUACUAUUCCAUUUUCAAUGUCAGCACACCCAUAUCCUUUUAUUGUA